rnacentral:rRNA from 1 species
AACGAACGCUGGCGGCAGGCCUAACACAUGCAAGUCGAACGCCCCGCAAGGGGAGUGGCAGACGGGUGAGUAACGCGUGGGAACCUACCUCUUGGUGCGGAAUAACUUCGGGAAACCGGUGCUAAUACCGCAUACGCCCUCCGGGGGAAAGAUUUAUCGCCGAGAGAUGGGCCCGCGUCGGAUUAGCUAGUUGGUGAGGUAAAGGCUCACCAAGGCGACGAUCCGUAGCUGGUCUGAGAGGAUGAUCAGCCACACUGGGACUGAGACACGGCCCAGACUCCUACGGGAGGCAGCAGUGGGGAAUAUUGGACAAUGGGCGCAAGCCUGAUCCAGCCAUGCCGCGUGAGUGAAGAAGGCCUUAGGGUUGUAAAGCUCUUUCGACGGGGAAGAUAAUGACGGUACCCGUAGAAGAAGCCCCGGCUAACUUCGUGCCAGCCGCCGCGGUAA